UACGGAGGGUGCAAGCGUUAUCCGGAUUCACUGGGUUUAAAGGGUGCGUAGGCGGGCAGGUAAGUCAGUGGUGAAAUACCCGUGCUUAACAUGGGAACUGCCAUUGAUACUAUCAGUCUUGAAUGUUGUUGAGGUUUGCGGAAUGGGUCAUGUAGCGGUGAAAUGCAUAGAUAUGACCCGGAACACCUAUUGCGAAGGCAGCAGGCUAAACAAAUAUUGACGCUGAGGCUCGAAAGCGUGGGGAUCAAACAGG
rnacentral:rRNA from 1 species